UCUUCUGUCACGUAGCGUUACACGUGACUGGUUUAGACUCACAUUGAUUGGCUGUUUCCAUGCAACGGUCUCUCGCUUAUUUCCACAUUUGAAAAGAAGCUCUUCAAAGAUCAGCCAAUUCAGAAUUUUCCCACAACUAUCAUUUAAAUGAAUUAAUCCAUCAUACGCGUUAUUUUCGGAAUAAUUCACUAAGGUAUCAUUCAACUCGUUUUUUCACUUGCCCUCUUUAUGUCUUAUUCACAGUAUUGGUUUCAACGUAUCUAAAAACAAUUUUCUCUAUUUGUUUCGGUAUAACUUUUGGAAUUUCCUGGUGUACCCGCUAAGGUAAUAACGGACACACCCCUCCCCUAGUUAAUUGUUUCCCAUGACAAAACGCAGUGGCACUGCCCUGCAUAGUGGUGAAUCUUACAUAUUUGGACGAAUUUGAAAAUAAAGAAAUAAAUUAUUGACUGAUAUUCCGAUAGGCGUCAACCUUUUUUAGCCUAACCAGUAUGCUUUCCAUAGUUGGUCUCGGCCUGUUUAAGUGGUAUUUGCUACAACUCAAAUAUGCUCACGAUAUCACGCUUUUUUAAACCAGUCAACCAUUCAAUAAAAACACGAGCGUUAGACGCACUGAAGUCAUCCCGAAAGAAGAAAAAGAACCGAGAAACGCCUCCGUUUUUUCCAAACUACAUAUUAUAAAAACACCAGGUUUCUUGAAAAUCCUACUAUUCUUGUUCAAGUAUUAGGAAGGAUCCAAUACGAUUCUUAUUAAUUCCUGAAGUACUUCUUCAACUAUAACUAUUUGUUAUAGUGACCGGCCUUCCAAUCGAGGUCUAGAAACCUACAACGAACUAAUGGAUCGAUUUCCAUGGUAAAUGUCAAAGGUACGCCCUCAUAAGAGCUUCAGGACACCUCAGAUGUAAGGUUAUGUAUUUUUGUCGAAAAUCAAGAAUUCAAUAGGACGAAGGGUCCCAUUGACGACAACAUCACGAGAACAUUGUUAUCGAGCUCAAGCUUACAAAAAUGGCGACAGAAAUAAUAACAUUUAACAGUAUCGAUGAGAAUAGCAACGUUCCACAAAACGUAAGCAAACAACUGUUAAAGGAAUCCAAAAUGACCCGAACUUUUACAAGUAUUGACUCGGAUGGCAACGAAACGCGUGAGGUACAAGAGUUCAUCUCUUCUGACGGCGGCAAGGAAGGGAUAUCUAUUGAUCUGAAUGGGGUUGAUGAGGAUACAGGAGUCAGAAGGCUUAGUACAAGCAGUUUAGUAUCAGAUGGUACGCCCACGGAGAGCAAUGCAAAACACAAAGACACGCCUAGACCUAAAGAAGAUUGGUACAAGGAAACCCAAAGCAACUUAGCUGAAGAACUAGACGACACAAGGCAGAGGAGUAGAUCCACGGAAGACCUUCUGUCGGACAGCAGAAAAUACUGCAGUAGUAGCAGCAUUAGUAGCAGCACGUACAGUAGCCCUUACCGCAGCCAGCUGUCGGAGAGAAGCAGCUACCUGCAUGACGAUGAGGCUAGGAAAAGAGCCAUACAGCAGUUACUGGACAGCACCAAGAAGUUUUCAAGCAAAGCGUCCAGGAGUACGACUUCAUUUUCCAGCAAGUACCAUCUCGACAGCCUUGUGAGUGACGUCAUGUAUAGAGACCUGCAUAGGCCUUACUCCGAGCGUGCCACAUCGCCGAUAUCCGACCGAGGAUACAGCACUCCCAGAUACUCUAGUCGAUACUCUGUCGGCUCUUACGAGCGGCCGCUAUCUCCUCGAACCAUUUCCGAGCCGCGAGCCUCACCCAUCUCCCCGACUUUGGGAGAUUCCUAUAUGAGCAGUUACCGCCCCCCUGUUGAUAGUGAUGUCAACGAUGUGGAUAGCCUUGCCCGCCACUCAAUCUACACUCGCAAUUACCUCUCCCACAAUGGGGAGGUCCUAAAGGAUGAGGAAAACAGCCACGAGGAGUUCUUCGACAGGCCUAGAAGUCCGCUAGGCCCUACACCUGAGAUUGACAGGCUCAGCAAGUAUUCAUCGACGUAUGGAAGGAUGUAUGGGCCGAAUGGAAGAUCGGACUACAUCAGGGAGAUUUCAACUAGUAGCAGCUUGUUGGAGGCCGAGAGGGCGCGGAUUGAGCGCAAGGCGUCUGGGAUGAGCGCUUUAAGGAGCAAGAUUGCUGCGUUGAGUAAGAGUGUCGAAGAGUUGAGCAAAUACAGGGACCGGAGCUCCCAUCUGCGAAGUUAUGUGUCAGAGCAUGAAGGACGACCUUCUGUGGAGGUCAAGAAAGACUUGCCCAAGGUGGACAGAUACGAGAUCAGGAGCAAGAGAUUAGAACCAAGGCAAUUUGAACUGGAAGGAGAAGUCUAUGACAAGCCUGACCCCACGAUCCCUACCCGGAUACGCUCAUCCGAACCCAUCUCAUCACCAGUAUCCAUUGAUCCUGUCGCUUCCGCACCGCCUGAACGCGUGACGUCAGACAUUCACGUGACUUCACCAACAAAGACGUCAUAUCACGUGACGAUGGAGAAGACAGUUGGGGAUGAGCCUGUGAAAUUGGGCAGUCUGAGUGUGACCGAGUAUCAGAGGGCUGCGGACCUUGGUAUUUAUAUACCGGAACAGGUAACACUGGACAAGAAUAGAAGUUAUUGGGUGGAUGCUCUGACAGCUGAAGACGUGGACAGGUUACAGAAGAUUGGCAACUGGGGAUGGUGGAAGGCAAACACGGUCGAGGGUGAUGGCACACUUCUAGGAAUACAUCCUUCGGAAAAGCACACAGGGGUGAUGCUGGCUACAUACGACACGGGUACAAAACCGCAGAAGUACAUAUGGAUCGGCAAGGAAGAUGGACAGGAAAGCGAACCCGAGGACACUGACAAUCACACACUUACUAGGACUGACUCCAACAUGUUUGUCGAUCGGGCGAAUGAUGGGAGAGUUCAGCUGCUGAUCAGGGUUAAGGCAAAAGACUCUAGUGAGCCGAGGUUUAUCACUGUACGGCCUGGUCCCGUAGAAAAAGCGAUCAUUGUCAGGAACAAGUCAUUGAGCGAGUUACCGUCGUACGCCAAGUAUCACGUGACUAAUAUUACCUCAAGUGAGGGUAUCGAGCUAAAAGACGGAUUCAUCAAAGUUAGACUCGAGGAAAUGACACCAGAAUUUAGGGAAGCCUGGGGCAACAUUGUUGGAGUGACGCCUAAAGAGAUAAUGGAUCAAGACGCAACAAUAGACAUUCCAGUGAGCACCACACAAACAACACCAGAACCGAUCUACGCACGACCCUACAAGAAAAGGAAGUCAGCUCAGCUUGUCCGGGCGCCGACCAACAAUGGUCUCAAAGAGGUAGAACUCAUCGCCAAGGUAUCACGCGAUGAAAACUCACGUUCCCAGUCCACAUCAAGCAGUAGCUGGUCCACAACUACGUCAUCCAACCAUUCCUUCGUUCAGUCCAGAGGCCCUAUGCGAGUGUCAAUCCAUUCCGUCACUUCCAAACCCCGGUCCCCUGGAAGCACGUCAGCGUCUAGCAAUCAUCUUGAGACUUCCGAGACUGAUCUGUCCCCACUCCUCCCCCCUAGCUCACCCGAUUGUUCGUCCUCUGGCUUGUCGUCUUCGGCGUUCUCUGCCCACUACCCCUCAUGGUCUCCUCCCCCCUCCCCCCUUAGGAGAUCCCAGCCACUUGACGACAUCCCUGAGCAUGAGCAAGAAAGCGGACUGGUCACAUCCAACUGGGAACCGCUGCCCCUGAGCGAGGGCUCAGCGUUUGAAGCUGUUACGCCCGCCAAAACAGCGGAAACUAAAAAGUCUAAGGAAGGAUCUAAGUGGUUUUCAAAGAAGUCUAAAGAGACCAAGAAUGGAUCUAAAAAGGAAUCCAAGAAGGAGUCUAAAAGGGAUUCUAAGAAAGGCCAUGACCAAAUAGAUGCUGUAGAUGUCCAGCUACAAGAUACACCGAAAAACGGGCUCGUGAGUGACGUGGUGGAGACGAAGAAGAAUUCUAAGAAAGAAAAGUUUAAAAAGAAGCCUCUAAAGUCAAAAUCGGCUGAGAAUCUUGUUGAAGCCCAACGCACUGAUUUAACCAUAGUCCAGAGCCCGUACACUGAGUGGGUUUGGAGUCAAGACGCGAAACUUGUGCCAAAUUUGUAUAAUGCCCCAAAACACAAUACAAACGGGAAUAAGAGCAAGAAGAAAAGCAAGAAAGACAAAAAAUCGAUGAAAAAGGCAAGCAAGCAUCGCAAAGAGACGGGUGAUCCGCCGAUGCUACGCGCCAAGAUCCGCGGUAUCGGGAGCCCGGUCAGCGGCAGCUUCCAGAGAACCAUAAGCGAGUCAGGCAUCGACAACCUGAGGGAAGAGGUAGACUGGAACCAGAAGUCGUAUGCUAUGUCGCAGAAGACCAUGUCAGAGUUUAGUUCAUCGAUGGAAGAUCUUACACACGAUAAUUUUAUCCUGAGAAAGAGACCAGACAGUUCUGAAAUGCGGUCUGUGACUGUUAACCACGCGAAGGCGACAAGAGUUUUAAGUCAGCCGUAAAUUGGCUACUACAGGUAGAUCACUAAGCAAAAAAGGUAGAACAAAGAGCCACAGGAAAACAAAAGCCACGUGUAGACCAUAAAGCUAUAUGUAGACCAUUAAGCCACAGGUGGACCAUAAAGCUAUAUGUAGACCAUUAAGCCACAGGUGGACCAUAAAGCUAUAUGUAGACCAUUAAGCCACAGGUGGACCAUAAAGCUAUAUGUAGACCAUUUAGCCACAGGUGGACCAUAAAGCUAUAUGUAGACCAUUAAGCCACAGGUGGACCAUUAAGCUAUAUGUAGACCAUUAAGCCACAGGUGGACCAUAAAGCUAUAUGUAGACCAUUAAGCCACAGGUGGACCAUUAAGCUAUAUGUAGACCAUUAAGCCACAGGUGGACCAUAAAGCUAUAUGUAGACCAUUAAGCCACAGGUGGACCAUAAAGCUAUAUGUAGACCAUUAAGCCACAGGUGGACCAUAAAGCUAUAUGUAGACCAUUAAGCCACAGGUGGACCAUAAAGCUAUAUGUAGACCAUUAAGCCACAGGUGGACCAUAAAGCUAUAUGUAGACCAUUAAGCCACAGGUGGACCAUAAAGCUAUAUGUAGACCAUUAAGCCACAGGUGGACCAUAAAGCUAUAUGUAGACCAUUAAGCCACAGGUGGACCAUAAAGCUAUAUGUAGACCAUUUAGCCACAGGUGGACCAUAAAGCUAUAUGUAGACCAUUAAGCCACAGGUGGACCAUUAAGCUAUAUGUAGACCAUUAAGCCACAGGUGGACCAUAAAGCUAUAUGUAGACCAUUAAGCCACAGGUGGACCAUUAAGCUAUAUGUAGACCAUUAAGCCACAGGUGGACCAUUAAGCUAGCGCUAGACACAGGCAGACCAUUAUGUCACAGGUAAACAACAAAGACACAGGUAGACCGAAAGCCACAUGUAAAGCACAAUGCCAUAUGCAGAUAAAACAGCCACUUGGCAUACCAGAAAGCUACAGGUAGAUAGAUCACACAAUGCUAAGGCAGACCAUUAAGUCAUUGGUAGGCCAUCGUGCUAUUGGGCCCAAGUUUAAUCAAAAGGCCGCACCGCAAAGCCAAAGGUAAAUAGAAAAGCCACUGGGCAAACAAGAAAGCCACAGGCAGACCACAAAGCCAAUAAAAGUUGAUUAGAAAGGCCACUGGGCCAACUUGAGUGGGUAAACCAGAAAGCCACAGGUAGACCAAAAGCCACAUGUAAAACACUAAGCCAUAGGCAGAUAAAAAAGCCACUGGGCAUACCAGAUAACCACAAGUAGAUGACACAAAGCGUAAAGGCAGACCACUAAGCCACAGGUUGGCCGCAAAGCCACGGGGCAAACCAGAAAGCCACAGAAAAGAACUACUGAUGACACCCUAACAAUGUGCUAGUGCUUUUAAUAUUAUUGUUAGAAUUGUUAGUAUUCAACUGCUUUUGAUUUCCAAUGCAAAUUGGCUGGUGAGUAGACCGAAAAGCCACUUACGAAGCCACAUGCUGACUACGAGGCCCCAGUAAGACCGCAAUGCCACAGGAAGACCACAAGGACACAGGAAGACCAGAUAGCCACAGGUAGACUUCGAAACCGCGAGGCCACAGGUAGACUGCGAGGCUACAGGUAGACCUCUAGGCCACUGGGAGACCGCAAGGCCACAGGUAGACCACGACUUCUGACACUACAUUUUGGUAGAAUUUUUUGGUGUGAAGAAAAGUGGUUGACGCUUCAAAAAGAUCAAAGUUGUAUAUAUAUAUAUUGAUUACCCAUCUUUUACGAGGAUUUAUGUGAAGGUUCUUGUACAUUUUAGGAUAUUUUUAGUAGAACAAUAUUUACCACUAGUUAUUGACAGCGCAUCCGACAAUAUACGGAUCUAAAAAAAUAUUUGAUAGGCAAUUUCUUUUUCGUGAAACCAUGGUUCUAGGUAAUGAAUAUUGAAAGCUUUAUGAUAUCCAGUACAAUCUGGAAUAAUUACUACUCAUGUUUUUGUAUCCACCGUCAUUAAACCUUUUUAUAUACCUUU